AACGAACGCUGGCGGCAUGCCUAACACAUGCAAGUCGAACGAACCCUUCGGGGUUAGUGGCGCACGGGUGCGUAACGCGUGGGAAUCUGCCCUUUGCUUCGGAAUAACAGUUAGAAAUGACUGCUAAUACCGGAUGAUGUCUUCGGACCAAAGAUUUAUCGGCAAGGGAUGAGCCCGCGUAGGAUUAGGUAGUUGGUGGGGUAAAGGCCUACCAAGCCGACGAUCCUUAGCUGGUCGGAGAGGAUGAUCAGCCACACUGGGACUGAGACACGGCCCAGACUCCUACGGGAGGCAGCAGUGGGGAAUAUUGGACAAUGGGCGCAAGCCUGAUCCAGCAAUGCCGCGUGAGUGAUGAAGGCCUUCGGGUCGUAAAGCUCUUUUACCAGGGAUGAUAAUGACAGUACCUGGAGAAUAAGCUCCGGCUAACUCCGUGCCAGCCGCCGCCGUAACAC
rnacentral:rRNA from 1 species